AUCUUCCCGGUGAAGACUGGAAGUAGCAGGGAUCAUUGUUGAGAAUGACGUUUGAACGUUUGAAGACACCCCUGAGCCUGGAGAUGUUGAGUAGUACAGGUCUUUCAUAAGUGAAUUUUCCAAACUGAUGAUGUGACAGGAAAAAGCCAUAUACGGGUGGCCAUUACAUUGUGUACCCCUCUUUGGGAUUUGUGAAAAUCAUCAGCUGGAAUCCCAGGCCAUCGUUCACCUAAUAAAUCAUCAGAAAGAGAACAUACACCCUGCAGCCAAGAAGAAAAGCCCAGUUAUUAAUGGAAGACUUUGAUCACAUAAUCAUGAUUUUUAAAAGUCCUAUUAAGAGGUAAGUGUCUAUAUUACUGAAACAACUUAGGAAAAAAGGUGAUGUUGAAAGGUUUUGAGGAAUAGAGGCUAGCUUGGAAAGAAAAUCCUCUAAAUUACCUUUUAAAAUCACUUGGAUAUAAUUGACAUUUCUAUCCAAAAUAGAAACCUCAAAAUAGUAAUAGCAAGU
rnacentral:lncRNA from 1 species